rnacentral:rRNA from 1 species
CUACGGGUUGCUGCAGUGAGGAAUAUUGCACAAUGGGGGGAACCCUGAUGCAGCAACGCCGCGUGGAGGAUGACGCAUUUCGGUGUGUAAACUCCUUUUAUAUGUCAAGAAAAUGACGGUAGCAUAUGAAUAAGCGCCGGCUAACUCCGUGCCAGCAGCCGCGGUAAUACGGAGGGUGCAAGCGUUACUCGGAAUCACUGGGCGUAAAGGACGCGUAGGCGGGUUGGAAAGUCAGGUGUGAAAUCCCACAGCUUAACUGUAGAACUGCACUUGAAACUUCUAAUCUAGAGUAUGGGAGGGGGAGAUGGAAUUAGUGGUGUAGGGGUAAAAUCCGUAGAUAUCACUAGGAAUACCUAAAGCGAAGGCGAUCUCCUGGAACAUUACUGACGCUAAGGCGUGAAAGCGUGGGGAGCAAACAGGAUUAGAUACCCUUGUAGUC